rnacentral:rRNA from 1 species
GCUUAGCCGUAAACAAAGACAGUACAAAUACAACACUGUCCGCCAGAGAACUACAAGCAAAAACUCAAAACUCCAAGGACUUGGCGGUGCUCCACAUCAACCUAGAGGAGCCUGUCCUAUAAUCGAUACCCCACGAUCCACCUUACCCCCCUUUGAAACUCAGCCUAUAUACCGCCGUCGUCAGCCUACCUUAUGAAAGAAGCAAAGUACGCAAAACAGUUACUAACUAGGACGUCAGGUCAAGGUGUAGCAUAUAGGGAGGAAGAGAUGGGCUACACUCUCUUAUUUAGAGAACACGAACAGCACAAUGAAACACUGCUCGAAGAUGGAUUUAGUAGUAAGACAGGCAAGAGAGCCUAUCUUAAACAAGCCCUGGAGCGCGCACAC